rnacentral:rRNA from 1 species
UACAGAGGGUGCAAGCGUUAAUCGGAGUUACUGGGCGUAAAGGGCGCGUAGGCGGUUAUUUAAGUUAGUUGUGAAAUCCCUGGGCUUAACCUAGGAACUGCAACUAAGACUGGGUAACUGGAGUACUGUAGAGGGUAGUGGAAUUUCCGGUGUAGCGGUGAAAUGCGUAGAGAUCGGAAGGAACAUCAGUGGCGAAGGCGGCUACCUGGACAGAUACUGACGCUGAGGCGCGAGAGCGUGGGGAGCAACAGG